ACUGCGGCCGUGUUGCGUAAGAUGAGGUAAGGGAGGCAGCCGUCCGUUUUCCAUGUAGCGAACUGCAUCGCGACCGGCCGAGCUGAAGUUUCCUGGAAAGAUAUGCCAAUGAAGGUGGCAGACGAGAAAGGCGGAAGCUUUGGAGUGCGGCCUAGAUGCCCAGAUAUGUCACCGCUGCAUGUGAGAACAAGAGGGGCUGCCCAAGAGCUUGUCUUUUUCGCAUUGCCAACAAUAAAGAGCAAGAUGCGAACUUAGCACCAUCAAUCACCGUUGGAUAUAUGAGGAUGAUGUGCUGUUUUUGUGGACUGGUACUACAGCAGCUGAACCCCUAACACAAGAGAAUUCAGUUCACAGAGGAUCUGAGAGGCUCUUCCAUAAAUUUCUUGGACCUUAAUAUGGAUAUCAACACAAAGAGACACUUAUUUAGCGUUUCCAGAAAUACCGUGGUCACAGAGAGUGUAAUCCCUGCAAAAUCCCAGCACCUGCACAGCCACAAACAUGCAGCUUUGCAUUCAAAGGUGCAUCUCCUAAUAUCUGUUUUAUUAUCUGUAGCUGCCUUUCAAACAGAACUGCAGACCAUCAAAGAUAACGCUUCCAUUAAUGACGAGAGUUCGGCCCUAAUUGAUAAUACACUACGAAAAAAGAAAACACGUGAAAUUAACCACUUCUGUACACUGGAGAACAAGGACCAGUCACCAGUAAAAAAGCUGAUGCUUCAUCCCAUAUCCUGCCAAAAGUUCUAAUAACCUCCCUAAAAAGUUGAAGUCCCGUAACUAUAUACCAGCAUUUUGUAGCUCGAACAGCAUAUGAAAAAAUUUGUUCAGUAGUAAAGACACACUACACAUAGUGGUGUAUAUAAAAUCACAUGGAAGCACUGUGGGAAACAAUAUAUUUUGGUCAGUUAGGCAGAGCUAUGAUAGGUUAACUGAACAUAAGAGAAGAUGGAAAUUAAAAAGUUACGAUUCAGCCUCGGCAGAUCAUCUUUUAAAAGAAAACGACUCUUACGAUGUAGAAAGAGAAGGUGGAAAUUAAAAAGGAACGAUUCAGCCUCGGCAGAUCAUCUUUUAAAAGAAAACUAAUCUUACGAUGUAGAAAGAGAAGCUUUCUUUUCUGUAAAGAAAAACAGAAAUGAGACUCUGCUGGAAAUCAACAAUCAUAUGACCCAGAACGUUAACAGUGUUAAAUGAUAAAAAGCAAUUUCCUUUUUCCCCUCCGUUAAAUUAAGUUUUCGUUAAAAAU